UCCAACCAACCUACAACACAAUCCAUUACACAUAAUCAAACGAGCUUUCACAACACAAUUACUUUCCAUCGAACAGACACAUAAUUUGGCACAUUUCACAAAUUUUAUUUCACUAUGUAACGGCCUUUUAAAAUAUGAUGGCCCAAGAACACGUCCAACAUCAGUUCACACCCUUGGUAAGAAUUACUCCAAAUUACAACAAAUAUACAACAUUGUAAAGACCCUCUUAUUCAUCAAAUUCACCUCUGCUUCUCAAACUUCUUUUGCUGCUCUCACCACCAAGGAAACCUGUAACAAACAAUAUGAGUUUGUUACAAAAUGGCAAGUUGAUUACAACAAUAGCAAUAGUAGAACCACCAUUUUUAUUUCACAUGAUCUGAACCUCACUCUAGAGGUGGAGGUAAACCUAUAUAGAAGUUAUGCCAAGGAAUGCUUGUGUUUGAUUAAUGAACAAUCGUUUCUCAUUGCAACAACACAACAUCCAUGACUAAUCAGGAGUAACCUAGUACCAAACAGUUCAAAGACAUAUUUUAGAAACCACGUCAUCGAAAAGUGACAACUUAUUGGCAGCAUCUAUUAUAUUAUUAAAGCAAAAGAAAAGGAACACUGAAGAUUUUUCAACCUUAUGCUGUCAAACUUAACGAUGGAGACUGGUCAAUUUAUAAAUAAGGUAGAAGUAUAUACUACAUGGUGUGCAUCUAAAAAAACAGGCCAUCUGCGAUUAGGAACUAAAUAUGGCCCCCUAUUACUAGAAUACUCAUUCCUAUUUGUGAAGGUACCGAACUCCUUGCAAUCUGCAUCAUAUAAAAGUUCAAGUCACCCUGAAAACGAACAGUUAGAAUCUGGAUGUAGUACAAUCAACAAUCAAACAGGUAGGACCUGGCCGUAGGAGGCAUAAUCUACAAGGACAUGCAUCUCUUCAUGCAACUCCACUAAUUUCUGUUAGUAUCUCCCAUGUGCCUAGAGACUAAUAAAUAAGCCAAGCCACAUUGCUGAGCCACGUUGAUAAUGUAGUUGGAGGCUCUAUCUAAAAAUUAAAAGUUCCAAGUCACGGUUCAAACUCGCUGGCCUGGGCGGCAGCACGCCGGUCCGCAAUGUCGACAUGCACUGCAGCUACUAAUUAAGCUCGAAUGUGUGCAUCUAAUCCACAACAAGAGAAGUUGCCUGCAUGAUUCAAUGCAUGCAUGGGCAUACAUACAAGAGAAACAUGCAACAAAGCACGUCUUUGCAGCUUUAUCACUGCAAUGUGUAAAUUACACUCUUAACACCAAAAUAUACUUGCAAUGUAAGCUUUUUUCUUACUAACAGUGCAAGUGAAAGCUAUGCUCAACGAUGUGCCUCUGUGCAUGAUCAGGAUCUGCCAUAUACGUACAUGCAUAUAGAAAAAAGUACUUAUUUUCCUUACAAUAUUUUGAUUAUACAACACAUUUCAAACAGCCUACCAAGACUACUAAAUUUCAAUACAAAAUUAUUUUGGCGCAUGUUACUUAUUUCAAAACAAAGACAAAAAUAUUUAUUUAACUUAAUAGGAAAAUACUUGACUAAUCUAGCAGCACAAACAGUAAAUCUACUAUAUCCUCCGAAGCGAUACAAAAUUUUAAACGAGAUUUACUUAUUGAUCAAAAUAAUUAUAAGCAACAAAGCAUAUCAUGUCAAGUAUUGGUGUUUCUUAUCUAUACCAAUAUAAAAAGACCCAAGUGGGCAGAUCCAAACCAUCUCAACUGUCAAAUCAUGUUAUCUAGCGGUUCAAAUCGCUCCAAUGUUGAGCACCAAACACGUUUAACACUCUAAUUACCCACCACUGCCAUUGGUUAUAAACAAGUUUUGACUCAACGCUAUCCCUUGAAAUCUUCCAUGUAAUUAAUAUCCUACCAUUCCCGCGAAAAAGUAAUUGAUAUCUUACCAAAUACCAACAUGCAACAGAUAUAUCUUACCUAAUAUAACGUGCAACUAAUAUCCUACCUAAUAUAAACGUGCAACUAAUAUCCUACCUAAUAUAAACGUGCAACUAAUAUCCUACCUAAUAUAAAUGUGCAUUGCACAUACAUUAUUACUAGUAUUUAGCAGUAUACAAUAACACCGUGUAAUCUUGCGUCAAAUGAUUUUGUGAUCAGAAACCACCUUGUUUCUGUUUUGAUAAACAUGAGUCAACCACAUUUAUAAUAACUUGAAAAAGGAGCCCGUCCCAGUAUUCAAGUGGACCUUGUUGUGUAGUAACUUGAAUUUCCUUUCAUGUCCUUCCUAGAUAAUUGCCCACACAUGAUUCUGCGAAGGUUCUGACAAACAUUAGUAGAACUCUAAUAAGCAUAAGCAUAGGAAGAACAUGAAGCAGUAUAAGGACCCCGUGCUUAUACACGUCCAACAACUUGUAAGAAACAUUUUUUUGUACUUGAUACAAAAUCCAAUAAUAGACAAUGGUCAAGAUUUACUUUCUUAUGUUACGUUGGAACAUACACACAUCGUUAUCUGUAAAAAAAGAUUCAUUUGAAAUGUUAAAAUAAUUGAGCAUGUCCUGUUAAAUCGGCGAAGCCAUUAUAGGAUAUUAUUUAGAAUGGAAACAAAAUAACAAUUCUUCGUAGGCAUAAACUCAAACACAUGGUAGUUAGAAAACACUGUAAUCCACCUCUUGAUCGGUAUUAUACUAAAACGCAUACUCUGGGUUCAGAUUUACGGCAGGAAUAUAUACAGAUUAGCAAAGAAGCUAUUACUUCAGCAAAUGGAAAUCUUAUUCAAUAUCUAAGCUGUAUCUGAUUCAGUGCGUGAGCUUGACUGCUUGGGUAUGAUUUGUUCAGCCAGUGGCUGGGCCGCAGUGAUGUGGCAUCCAUGGCACUUUUUCUCAACAAAAUACAUGCAAAAAAACUACAGAUUAGAAAUAGCAUGUAUCGACAGAAUCUGCAAAUAUGAGUUUUUCUUCAUUUAGAUAUCAAAUGGUAUGAGUUUCUCAAUUAUAAAAGCUGGCAGGAUAAAUGUUCCAGGCAAUUACUAGAUAAACAAUCAGACAACUUACGUCAGACUCUCUGAAUUAGCAGUGUACAACUACAAAGAAAUGCUUGAACUCUAAGAUGAACAAAAAUUUGCCCAAUACUUUUUGUUUCCAGUAGAAAAAAUGAAUGUGCUGCACAGAUGUAUAAUUAGGAAGGAAGCAGAACGACCUAUAUCUACAAAGCACAAACAACCAGUAACGAACGAGCAGCCCAGGAAGUGGUGCUCGUGCCUUAUGCUGUUCGUUUUAAUGUUAGACAAGGCAGACACGCAGAUAUUCUUUCUGUACCAACUCAACCUGGCCAACAAGGCCAGCAACCAUCCUAUACCAGGAACGACAGCAUCCAUCCACGGAGAGGAGCAUAGGGGAAGGGAGGGUACAGGACAGUGCAGAGGUACGUACUGGGUCUUGCCGACCGGAGAUGGUGAACUGCGACGUGUGGAGGCUGUGCACCAUGGAUGGAGAAGAUGGCCGCGACGACGGAGGGGACCAAUGGUGGCGCGGCUGACGAACAAUUGGCCCCAGCCACAAGGGCCCCCGAUGUACUCUGGAUCUGUGGCCUUGUCUUCACCUCCUGUACCCCAGCUCCGCUCGCCGCCAGAUGGAGUUGGGUCAGUGCGCGCCACCAGCGACCUUAGGGACGUCCAAAUCUGGCAGUUGGUCCCGCUGCCACCGCUGCCGCCUCAGAUCCAGGGGUAGGAUUGGAUUGCCAUAGCUCGAUGGGGC
rnacentral:lncRNA from 1 species